rnacentral:rRNA from 1 species
UACGGAGGGUGCAAGCGUUAUCCGGAUUCACUGGGUUUAAAGGGUGCGUAGGCGGAUAGGUAAGUCCGUGGUGAAAUCCUGCAGCUUAACUGCAGAACUGCCGUGGAUACUAUCUAUCUUGAAUGUCGUGGAGGUUAGCGGAAUAUGUCAUGUAGCGGUGAAAUGCUUAGAUAUGACAUAGAACACCCAUUGCGAAGGCAGCUAACUACGCGAUAAUUGACGCUGAUGCACGAAAGCUAGGGGAGCAAACAGG